rnacentral:rRNA from 1 species
UACGUAGGUGGCAAGCGUUGUCCGGAAUUAUUGGGCGUAAAGGGCUCGUAGGCGGCCAACUAAGUCAGACGUGAAAUCCCUCGGCUUAACCGGGGAACUGCGUCUGAUACUGGAUGGCUUGAGUUUGGGAGAGGGAUGCGGAAUUCCAGGUGUAGCGGUGAAAUGCGUAGAUAUCUGGAGGAACACCGGUGGCGAAGGCGGCAUCCUGGACCAACACUGACGCUGAGUGAGCGAAAGCCAGGGGAGCAAACGGG